CCAGAGGUUGUGAAUGCACUAUCACAAAAUUUACAGUGAUGUGGCUUGGUCCCAGUAUGUGUAUUAACAUGAUUCUGAAGAGAAGCUAGUGUUUUAAAUCCUCUUUCACAAACGCUACAUUUAUGUGGCCUUUCCUCAGAAUGUGAUUUCAUAUGUCGUGAUAGCAGAUCGUUUUGGACUUGUGUAGUUACAGUAAUUACACAUAUGAGCUUGAGUAACAGUUUGGGACUUUUUAGGUAAGAUUUUUACAAUCUUAGUUUUGUCAUCUUCUGCUUCUGAUUCCACAGGUACUUCAUUAUCUUCAUUAUCUUCAAAGUCAUAAACUGUAAGAUCUUGUUCUCCUUCUCCUUCUUCACCUUCUGUUCCUUCUCGUGCUAUUGGUUUGCUUUCCUUAUCCUCAGCAUCAGGUUGCUGAACUAUUAGUACAUAACUGACUUCACCAGGAUUGGUAUCAGAUGGUACAAUAGUAACUGUUUGAUAUGCAUCUCCAGAGUUGAUUACAACCUCAUUAUUCCCAUUACUCGUUACCUGGCCCUAUAAAAAACAACAUACUUUUAUAGUAAUGGUAU
rnacentral:misc_RNA from 1 species